rnacentral:rRNA from 1 species
CCUACGGGAGGCAGCAGUGGGGAAUAUUGGACAAUGGGCGCAAGCCUGAUCCAGCCAUACCGCGUGGGUGAAGAAGGCCUUCGGGUUGUAAAGCCCUUUUGUUGGGAAAGAAAAGCAGUCGGCUAAUACCCGGUUGUUCUGACGGUACCCAAAGAAUAAGCACCGGCUAACUUCGUGCCAGCAGCCGCGGUAAUACGAAGGGUGCAAGCGUUACUCGGAAUUACUGGGCGUAAAGCGUGCGUAGGUGGUUGUUUAAGUCUGUUGUGAAAGCCCUGGGCUCAACCUGGGAAUUGCAGUGGAUACUGGGCGACUAGAGUGUGGUAGAGGGUAGUGGAAUUCCCGGUGUAGCAGUGAAAUGCGUAGAGAUCGGGAGGAACAUCCAUGGCGAAGGCAGCUACCUGGACCAACACUGACACUGAGGCACGAAAGCGUGGGGAGCAAACAGGAUUAGAUACCCUGGUAGUCCACGCCCUAAACGAUGCGAACUGGAUGUUGGGUGCAAUUUGGCACGCAGUAUCGAAGCUAACGCGUUAAGUUCGCCGCCUGGGGAGUACGGUCGCAAGACUGAAACUCAAAGGAAUUGACGG